GAUGAACGCUGACAGAAUGCUUAACACAUGCAAGUCUUUGGCGAAGCUGUGCUUGCACAGCCUAGCCAAGGCGGACGGGUGAGUAACGCGUAAGGAACUUGCCCUGCAGUCAGGGAUAACAGACGGAAACGACUGAUAAGACCUGGUAAAGUCAGACGGACUCAUGUCCAGCCUGAUGAAAAGAGAUGCUGCAGGAGAGCCUUGCGUCCUAUUAGCUUGUUGGUGGGGUAACGGCCCACCAAGGCGAUGAUAGGUAGCCGGCCUGAGAGGGUGGACGGCCACGAGGGGACUGAGAUACGGCCCUUACUCCUACGGGAGGCAGCAGUGGGGAAUAUUGGACAAUGGGGGCAACCCUGAUCCAGCAAUUCUGUGUGCACGAUGAAGGUUUUCGGAUUGUAAAGUGCUUGCAGCAGGGAAGAAAAAAAUGACGGUACCUGCAGAAGAAGCGACGGCUAAAUACGUG
rnacentral:rRNA from 1 species